rnacentral:rRNA from 1 species
GACGAACGCUGGCGGCGUGCCUAAUACAUGCAAGUCGAGCGGGGUUGUCGGAGUGGAGUCCUUCGGGAGUGAAGCACCGCCAACCUAGCGGCGGACGGGUGAGUAACGCGUGGGUAACCUGCCCUAAAGCCCGGGAUAACACCGGGAAACUGGUGCUAACACCGGAUACCUUCCGAAGAGGGCAUCCUUUUUGGAAGAAAGGUUAACGCUUUAGGAUGGGCCCGCGUCCCAUUAGCUAGUUGGUGAGGUAACGGCUCACCAAGGCAGUGAUGGGUAGCCGGCCUGAGAGGGUGGACGGCCACACUGGGACUGAGACACGGCCCAGACUCCUACGGGAGGCAGCAGUAGGGAAUAUUGCGCAAUGGGCGAAAGCCUGACGCAGCGACGCCGCGUGGGUGAUGAAGGCCUUCGGGUUGUAAACUGCUGUCGUGUAGGGAGAAGGGUACUAAGGUGAACAAUCUUAGUACUUGACGGUACUACAGGAGGAAGCCCAGGCUAACCUCGUGCCAGCAGCCGCGGUAAAG